GAAGCAACGCGAAGAACCUUACCAGGUCUUGACAUCCUCUGACAACCCUAGAGAUAGGGCUUCCCCUUCGGGGGCAGAGUGACAGGUGGUGCAUGGUUGUCGUCAGCUCGUGUCGUGAGAUGUUGGGUUAAGUCCCGCAACGAGCGCAACCCUUGAUUUUAGUUGCCAGCAUUCAGUUGGGCACUUUAAGGUGACUGCCGGUGACAAACCGGAGGAAGGUGGGGAUGACGUCAAAUCAUCAUGCCCCUUAUGACCUGGGCUACACACGUGCUACAAUGGGCAGAACAAAGGGCAGCGAAGCCGCGAGGGUAAGCCAAUCCCACAAAUCUGUUUUCAGUUCGGAUCGCAGUUUGCAACUCGACUGCGUGAAGCUGGAAUCGCUAGUAAUCGCGGAUCAGCAUGCCGCGGUGAAUACGUUCCCGGGCCUUGUACACACCGCCCGUCACACCACGAGAGUUUGUAACACCCGAAGUCGGUGAGGUAACCUUUUGGAGCCAGCCGCCGAAGGUGGGA
rnacentral:rRNA from 1 species